rnacentral:lncRNA from 1 species
CUCCACUAGACAAAGGGCUGCAAGGUGACACACUGCGGCUUCCUCCUCCUGGCAGACAGAGGGACCAAGGAUGGGGCAGAGGGAAGUGUCCCAGGCCCUUGUGGGCACCAGGUGGCUCCAAGUGUCAGAGAAGCCUGUGGCACUUUGGACUUGUCUUCUCUGUGCCGGACAGAGGCAGCUAGAUCAGGGCCCAGAAUCUCCCCCAUCCUGUGUGCAUGCUGCUUAGCCCAUCCCUGGCACCUGGACCGCCCUCAGCCUCUCCUCAGUGGGUGCAAGGAAAUCUUACAUGUACGUAGUUAUAUUCAGGGUGGAAAUGAGGAGUCAUCCCCAUGCCUCCUCUUGCUGCACAUUGAAAACUUGAAUGGUAUGAUUCAUCUUUGGUUUAAGUAUUAUUAUCUCCAAGUCCUGUCCUUCUCUUAUGCUUUUCCUGUAAAGAGGUCAACACACCAAGAUGAAGAUGCAUACAUUAAAAUUAUUUUUGCCAGAAUUUGCAAGAUUGCUGUCUUAAAAGACAAAAUGAGAUCUGUGAAGAUAAUGAACAAGGUGAGUGGAAAGGAUGACAGGAAAGACUGGGAAGAAAAGCUGCAGAGGACAAAAGGUGGUUCUCCCCUAGCCUACAGAUGUGCCUGUGUUCCUACUGUAUAUGGAGGUAUGCAAAUGAGAUGUUGUGUAAAUGAAUGUGUGUGAAUGUAUGUGAGGGAGACCGAAAGGGGCCAUAUGAUAAGAAAGUAAAAAAGAGACUAUUAGAAAAAGGGAAGAGGGUGCAAGGACUGGUAAUGGGAUGGAUGUGAUCAAAAUAUAUUAGACACAUCAAAACUCACAAAAAUGUGAAACUAGGGGGAAAGGAAGGGCAAAGGGGUUAAAGGGGUAAAAUGAUUAAAG